rnacentral:snRNA from 1 species
GUGGUUGCUUCGGUAGCACAUAUACUAAAAUUGGAACAAUACAGAGAAGCUCAGCAUGCCCCCCUCCCCUCCCCCCCGCACAAGGAUGACAUGCAAAUUAGUGAAGUGUUCCAUAUUUUU